CAGAGCAUAUUGGAGGGGACAGGAACUAGGGCAGGGCAGAAAUGAUUAGAUACAACGAAACAUGAGUUCAUUUUCAAGUCCUACUCCUGUCCUGACUGUUUGCUCUUUGAAGAGUCACUGAGCUUCCUGGUACCUCAGUUUCCUUGUAUCUAAAAGGGGGAGAACAAAUUUUCUUCACAGGGAGCCCUGUGAAGAUUAAAAUAAGAUGAUGGAUGGAAGGUGCCUGGUACAUGGAAGGGGCCGUGAGCCAAGGGAUGCUGAUGGCUUCGGAAAGGUGAGGAAAGGGAUCAGACCCUAGAGCCCUCAUGGAGUCAUGCAGCCCUGUGCUGGACUUCUGACCUCCAAAACAGUAAGGAGAGCUGCAUUUCUCCUGGAACCCCGGGAAGAAUGCCCCCCUGCCCCGAGCACUCAGAGACCACACAGCAGAUCUCCCUGACACCUGCUUUUCUCAUAGCCCUUGUACUUCUCGAGACCACAAGAAGGGCACACAGCAGGAAACUGCUUAGCAACUGCACGUAGGAAAUGAGGAUUCCAAAAUAUUACUGUGGGAAGAAAGCACUUCCCCUGCUCCAGAAUGGGGCCAGUCCCUGGAGGUCGGUAUGGCAUGGAGGGUCUCCAUCAGGAGCACUUGAUCUAGCAGCAGAAAAGAAAGCAGAUGCCCACCGCUGCCCAUCCUGAGGUCCCUGACAGAGAAAAGCCCAGAGGAAGGAAAAAGCAGUUUCAGAAGAAAGCAACUUCCCUGUGGAAAUGACCCUGGAGCUGGAACCUAGAUGAUGAGCCUUCCCAGGGAGAAGGCAAGAAGGAGAGAAGAGUGUUCUGUGCCCUUUCUGCAUCCCCUCCAUGCCUUCCUCAACUUCCUCAAACUCCUCUCCCAUAGUUUCUUCCCCAUAAACUACCAGGUGUGCUAAAA